rnacentral:rRNA from 1 species
UCCUGAACAUACAAGAGAAACUGCAGAUGGCUCAUUAGAUCAGUUAUGGUUUAUUGGAGAAAGUCUUAUACCAUGGAUAACUGUGGUAAUUCUAGAGCUAAUACAUGCAACAAAGCGCCGACCCUUCGGGGGAAGCGUGCUCUUAUUAGGAACAAGGCCAGCCCGGUCCUCUCGGGGUCCGGUCUCCGCUGGUGAACUCUAGAUAAUCAUGCCGAUCGCACGGUCUUGCACCGGCGACGCUCCCUUCAAAAGUCUGCUCUAUCAACUUUCGAUGGUAAGUUAUGCGCUUAUCAUGGUUGUGACGGGUAACGGAGAAUCAGGGUUCGAUUCCGGAGAGGGAGCCUGAGAAACGGCUACCACAUCCAAGGAAGGCAGCAGGCACGCAAAUUACCCACUCCUGACACGGGGAGGUAGUGACAAAAAAUAACGAUACAGGCCUCUUCGGAGGCCCUGUGAUCGGAAUGAGUACACUUUAAAUCCUUUAACGAGGAUCUACUGGAGGGCAAGUCUGGUGCCAGCAGCCGCGGUAAUUCCAGCUCCAGCAGCGUGUAUUAAAUUUGCUGCAGUUAAAAAGCUCGUAGUCGGAUUUCUGGCCGGGGCGGGCGGUCCGCCGUGAGGCGUGCACUGCCCGUUCCCCUUCUCCCCGUCAAACGGGAGUCGUGGGAGAUUUUUCCCGGCCAGUGAUUCGGUUGGUCGUGCGGUGCUCUUAACUGAGUGCCGUGCGAGACUGGAACGUUUACUUUGAGAAAAUUGAAGUGUUCAAAGCAGGCCAAAGUGCCCGAACAGCUCAGCAUGGAAUAGUGGAAGAGGACCUCGGUUCUAUUUCGUUGGUCUUGAGAUCCUGAGGUAAUGAUCAAGAGGGACUGCCGGGGGCAUUCGUAUUGCGGCGUGAGAGGUGAAAUUCUUGGAUCGUCGCAAGACGCCCGACAGCGAAAGCAUUUGCCAAGAAUGUCUUCAUUGAUCAAGAACGAAAGUCGGAGGAUCGAAGGCGAUCAGAUACCGCCCUAGUUCCGACCAUAAACGAUACCGACUCGUAAUUCGCCGGCGUUCCUCCCAUGACGCGGCGGGCAACUCUCCGGAAAACCAAAGUCUUUGGGUUCCGGGGGAAGUAUGGUUGCAA